UUUAAUUGGAGAGUUUGAUCCUGGCUCAGAAUGAACGCUGGCGGCGUGCUUAACACAUGCAAGUCGUACGAGAACUCUUCUGCUUGCAGAAGAUAGUAAAGUGGCGUACGGGUGAGUAACGCGUGGGUAAUCUACCCUUGAAUUGGGGAUAACAUUGCGAAAGCGAUGCUAAUACCGAAUGACAUCCUCUUUUUUUCGGAUUUGAGGAUCAAAGGUGGCCUCUACAUGUAAGCUACCGUUUGGGGAUGAGCCCGCGUACCAUUAGCUUGUUGGUAGGGUAAUGGCCUACCAAGGCAACGAUGGUUAGCUGGUCUGAGAGGAUGAUCAGCCACACUGGAACUGACACACGGUCCAGACUCCUACGGGAGGCAGCAGUGAGGAAUUUUGCGCAAUGGGGGAAACCCUGACGCAGCAACGCCGCGUGAGUGAUGAAGGCUUUCGGGUCGUAAAGCUCUGUCAAGUG
rnacentral:rRNA from 1 species